AUGCAGAGCCGAGAUGCCAAUAGGACAUCAAGAAAGGCCUGCUGGGACCCUGAAGACCCACUCAGGUCCAGCAAGAGCUGCUGUGUUAGCAGAGCAACACUUGAAUCGCCCCCCCCCCCCCAAUCCCCCAACAGAGAAGCAUUUGCUUGCCUCAGGGAAUACUCAGCUUCUAACAAUUGCACGCACUGUGUUUUUCACCCCAUGUUAGCAACAAGAUGGCUUUGGUGCAGCUUUCCGGUCACUAAUCGACUCGAACACUGCGCUCAAGACAGAGGGUUACCAACAUCCAGAACUUCUGAUGCUGGACCAUGGAGGGGAGAUCUUUAAGACUCUACACUACCUCAGCAACCUCAUUCAAAGCAUCAAAAGACCCCUGGGAACCAAGGAGAACCCUGCACGCAUCUGUCGAGACCUCAUGAACUGUGAACAGAAGAUGAAYGAUGGUACCUACUGGAUUGACCCAAAUCUUGGCUGUUCCUCGGACACCAUACAGGUCAUCUGUAACUUCACCAAUGGUGGACAGACAUGUCUCAACCCCAUCACUGUCUCCAAGCUGGAUUUUGACAUCGGUAGAGUCCAGAUGAACUUCCUUCGCCUUCUGAGCUCAGAGGUGGUCCAGCACAUAACCAUCCACUGCCUGAAUACCUCCGUGUGGCGGGAAGGCUCAUCUGAAAAACCUUCAGAAAAAGCCGUGCGCUUUAAGGCCUGGAAUGGACAGAUGUUUGAGGCAGGAGGGCAGCUCAAGCCAGAAGUGGCAGCUGACGAUUGCAAGAUCAAGGAUGGGCGCUGGCAUCGGACCCUCUUUUCGUUUCGGACCCAGGACCCUCACCAGCUGCCAAUCGUCAACAUCUACAACCUUCCCCCAUCCGAGCCAGGAAAGCAGUAUCACCUCGAGGUCGGCCCCGUGUGCUUCCUUUGAACAAAGCCAUCAAAACUGGGCUCCAAGGCUUUGCCCCCCCGUUUUUGGCCUACGUCUUUACACAGGGUCUCCCACCUCUCCGCGGCGAGGACAGCUGGGCUGUACCAUUUGGGUCAGCUGUUGCUCUAGCCAUUGGCUCAAGGUCUCAAAGAACCCGUGAUCUACUGAACUCAGCAGAUUCUUGAAAGGAGGAAUAACAAGGCCGUAGGGGAAGCGGGUGUCAGUCGGGACGCGAACAGUGAAAAGGGAUCAGGGGACUAGAUGUUGCAAGCAGGUCCACACACAAAGCUUUUUCCAUGACCAAAGAAGAAAAUAUUGAGAGAAACCUCAAGAAACUUGCAGCGUGCAUUGUUGGGUUUUGUUUUGUUUUGUUUUUGUCCCUCUUUUUUGUCUUACCUGGUUCCUGAGUUACCAAAUGUUCUUUCCAUUGAAAAGUAAUUAAAUGAUAGAGCUUCCCUCUCAGAGCUUGUCGCCUUCUGGACGGCCACGUGCUGCAUCAGGCUCUCCCAGGCGGAGCUGCAAGUUGAAUCUGGCUGCUCUGUGUGCCAGAAGCAUUUUGAUGUGCAAUAUUAGAAGAAACAAAAAAAAUAUAUAUUAUAUUAUUUAAAGCAAAAAGAAAAAAAAAGAACAAAAAAAAACUAAGUUCCUCCUUCCAUGGGUGAGUUUAAUAAAUGUCCCUUCUCAUGUGUGGUGUCGGGGUAG
rnacentral:lncRNA from 1 species